GUNGGGGUUGGUGUCAGGCUCGACGGCGUCGCGCCGCUCCACCUGGAGGGCGGAGACGGUGGUGAGGGAACGAGGCCGCGGCUGCGGAGGAGGACGACGACGGAGAGAUCGGAGGGAGGAGGAGUUAGGGUUGGGGUUAGGGUUUGUGGAGGGAAGGGAGACUCCUCGUCUUCUUGUGGUGGUCGCUGGGGGAGGCGGAGAGGCCACGAACAUGGCGGAGGAAGCCAUUGCUCAGCGCAGCCACGGGUUAGAGUGGUUCACGAAGCGCACUCGGAAAAAUAAGAAUGGUAAAAUGAAUGGAGCUACUAUAGUUUACUAAGUUAUCAGUCUCCGUAAAUUUUUAAAUAAAAAAUAUUCGAUUAGAGUGACAGUACAAUAGUUAUCUAGCA
rnacentral:lncRNA from 1 species